rnacentral:siRNA from 1 species
UUGGCGGUGAACGAGGGCUA